UUGGGGAUGAUGAAGAAAAGACGGAUUCCCAUUGAUUUCUAGUCGAAAUGUGAUCUUCAAUCAGCUACUUUUGACUCAA
rfam:Oryza brachyantha chromosome 7, whole genome shotgun sequence.